rnacentral:rRNA from 1 species
CUGCGAAAGCCGGAUUAAUACCGCAUACGCUCGAGAGAGGAAAGCGGGGGAUCUUCGGACCUCGCGCUCAAGGGGCGGCCGAUGGCGGAUUAGCUAGUUGGUGGGGUAAAGGCCUACCAAGGCGACGAUCCGUAGCUGGUCUGAGAGGACGACCAGCCACACUGGGACUGAGACACGGCCCAGACUCCUACGGGAGGCAGCAGUGGGGAAUUUUGGACAAUGGGGGCAACCCUGAUCCAGCAAUGCCGCGUGUGUGAAGAAGGCCUUCGGGUUGUAAAGCACUUUUGUCCGGAAAGAAAUCCUCUGGGUUAAUACCUCGGGGGGAUGACGGUACCGGAAGAAUAAGCACCGGCUAACUACGUGCCAGCAGCCGCGGUAAUACGUAGGGUGCGAGCGUUAAUCGGAAUUACUGGGCGUAAAGCGUGCGCAGGCGGUUCGCUAAGACCGAUGUGAAAUCCCCGGGCUUAACCUGGGAACUGCAUUGGUGACUGGCGAGCUAGAGUAUGGCA